rnacentral:rRNA from 1 species
GGCUGCAACUCGCCUACAUGAAGUCGGAAUUGCUAGUAAUCGCGGAUCAGCAUGCCGCGGUGAAUACGUUCCCGGGCCUUGUACACACCGCCCGUCACACCAUGGGAGUCGGUAACACCCGAAGCCUGUAGUCUAACCGCAAGGAGGACGCAGUCGAAGGUGGGAUUGAUGACUGGGGUGAAGUCGUAACAAGGUAGC